AAUAAAAAAAAAAAAGGGGGGAAUGAAAGACACCCCCCCCCCCCCCGUCCUUAACUAAUUAACUGCUCUUUUGUUGUGUCAGAGUACCCCUCCUCCCCUUACAAUGAAAAGACCCUUCCCCCAGGGUUGAAUUCAGUUUAACUGCUCUUUUGCCUUUCUGUAACCGCUUGGCUUUUAGGGCAUGACACUUGUCUCCUGUUUGAACAAGAUACCUUCUCCUAAUAGCCGAGGCAUGGUCACGUAGGCAAGGGGGCUGCAUGGUCACGUAGGUCACCUAGACAGUAUGCUUUUCUGCUGAGUAAUAAGGUCAAACUUCCCCUCUUUGUUUCCCCUUCCCGCCUUUCUCUUCGCGCGCGGGGGUCUUCCAAAGCCAAUCCGCUAACACCAAGUAUGCCUUUUU